CAGUAGCCACGGUAAUACGGAGGGGGCUAGCGUUGUUCGGAAUUACUGGGCGUAAAGCGCACGUAGGCGGCUUUGUAAGUUAGAGGUGAAAGCCCGGAGCUCAACUCCGGAAUUGCCUUUAAGACUGCAGAGCUAGCAGGUGAGAGAGGUGAGUGGAAUUCCGAGUGUAGAGGUGAGAUUCGUAGAUAUUCGGAAGAACACCAGUGGCGAAGGCGGCUCACUGGCUCAUACUGGACGCUGAGGUGCGAAAGCGUGGGGAGCAAACAGGAUUAGAUACCCCCGUAGUCCCUGUCUCUUAUAC
rnacentral:rRNA from 1 species